rnacentral:rRNA from 1 species
UACGUAGGGGCGAGCGUUGUCCGGAAUCAUUGGGCGUAAAGAGCGUGUAGGCGGCUUGGCAAGUCUGACGUGAAAGCCCGCGGGCUCAACCCGCGGAUUGUCGGAUUGGAAACUGGCCUCGCUAGAGUCCGGAGGAGGAGAGACGGAAUUCCUGGUGUAGCGGUGGAAUGCGCAGAUAUCAGGAGGAACACCGGUGGCGAAGGCGGGUCUCUGGGCAGUAACUGACGCUGAGGAGCGAAAGUCGGUGGGAGCGAACAGG